UGGGGAUAAUAUUUUACAUUUAUGUGUGACUUUGGCUGCUUAGCUUCAAAGUAGGCAAGAUAAAAGAUAUGUUCUUUUUCAGGUUUCUGUGGAAAGGAAAUUGGGUUCAUUCAAGAAAAAAGCUGCAAGAUCCUUGCUUGGAUUAAAAGUGCCACGCAAUGCGAAAGAAGGAGGUCACCAAGAACGCCCUCUUCUGCAUCCAGAGACUCCUUCCUCUUGGGUGCUAAGUACUCUGCAUUUUUAUAUAAUAUGGAAAGGAACCAAAACACCCAUAU